CUUUUAGCCCUCCAUCAGUUUCUUAACAUUGUACAUAGUACAUUGGCUAAUAACAUUUAGGCUUCAUAGUUUAUCAGGUGUAAUCCUUCUGGAUCCAAAGAACUGAAAUGAAAAGAAAAUGAACCACAAAAAAAUUCUCCAAAAAGGUAAUCUUUCAUACAUUCCCUAAACUGUAAUCUGAUUACUUGUGCCUACCUUCUAUAAUAACCUUUUUCUAGGUUCUAUAUAGCUAGCAGGAAGAAGGCUGAGGCCGGUAAAAUGAGCAGGAGACCAUCACCACCUUCCCUGGCUCCGGAUGAGGAGCCGGAACUGUCCCUUAAUCAAGGGUGACCCACGGUCGAUGGGAUUCCAGGGAGCAGUUCAUCAGCGUCAGCUGCCUAUCGUGAUAUGAGAGGCUUGGUAAAAUUUCAUAUAGGUCUCGUCAAUGGAAGGGCACAUAUGUGGCUGCAAAGUGGAUGGGUGGAGGGCUGUAAUUCCCAAAUAUGCGGUCAAUCAUCUUCUACAACCUGAGUGUACUGGCCUCAGCAGGGUAUGUGGAGAGGAUCUUCUCCAGGACGGCAAAUUAAUGGAGCGAUGUCCAUAACCAGUGCUUUGUGGAGCUCAUGAGGAAUGAGCUCCUGAUCUCACUCGACUUCGACCUGCCCUGUGCCGACUUUCAGUCAUUUUGAAAGAUAAGUCAUUGCUUAAUGCAGCAAGGAGGGAUUAAAAAGUACUCAUGGAAGAGCAAGUAAUGAAGAAAGAAAAUAAUUCCUCUCCAUGGAGAGAGAUGAAAUGAACUGUUCCAUAGACACACAUUUAUUUAGUUAUUUAGUAUUUCUUUAUGACAAAUGCAUUUCAUUUUUCGUAAAUACACUUAAGAGUUCUUUCUGUCUUUGUGUUUGAUUUCUUGCUUGUAUUUAUCCAUGAAGCUUAUGAGGUAUGAAGGGUGAAAAGAUGUGAAGUUAAAAUCAAGCUGGAAAGAAAAAACGGCGUGGCGUGGUGACGUAACCCGAAGCACGAGCUCAAAGCCUGAGUGCAUGCUUCCCUGGUUUUGUCAGUAAUAUUGACUUGUUAACAAAACACACAUGCCAAAAGUAAUGGGCAGUGUUUAUCACCUAUAUAAGACCGGCACUGGGUAGGAAACCCAGGGGGCAGUGUUUAUCACCUAUAUAAGACCGGCACUGGGAACCCAGGGGGCAGUGUUUAUCACCUAUAUAAGACCGGCACUGGGUAGGAAACCCAGGGGACAGUGUUUAUCACCUGUAUAAGACCGGCACUGGGUAGGAAACCCAGGGGGCAGUGUUUAUCACCUAUAUAAGACCGGCACUUUGUAGGAACCCAGGGGGCAGUGUUUAUCACCUAUAUAAGACCGGCACUGGGAACCCAGGGGGCAGUGUUUAUCACCUAUAUAAGACCAGCUUGACUUUUUACUUCACAUUAAAUUAUGUUACUUCUUAUUUUCACCCCUCAUACCCCAUCAUGUUGAUUCUGCUGGGGAUCCAUUUCUGUUCAACUACCUUCUGCCUCAAGCACUCGUCUCCUGGGAUCCAAGAGUAUGCCUGUUU
ensembl:lncRNA